AUGAACGCUAGCGGCAGGCUUAACACAUGCAAGUCGAGGGGCAGCGGAGCGGAGUGCUUGCACUCUGCUGCCGGCGACCGGCGCACGGGUGAGUAACACGUAUGCAACCUGCCCCGGAGCGGGGGAUAACCCGGCGAAAGCCGGACUAAUACCGCGUAUAUAUCCAGGAGGCAUCUUCUGGAUAGGAAAGGACUUCGGUCCGCUCCGGGAUGGGCAUGCGGCGCAUUAGGCAGACGGCGGGGUAACGGCCCACCGUACCGACGAUGCGUAGGGGUUCUGAGAGGAAGGCCCCCCACACUGGUACUGAGACACGGACCAGACUCCUACGGGAGGCAGCAGUGAGGAAUAUUGGUCAAUGGGCGAGAGCCUGAACCAGCCAAGCCGCGUGAGGGAAGAAGGCGCUCAGCGUCGUAAACCUCUUUAGCCGGGGGACAAAACCUCCUCGCGAAGGAGGCUUGAGAGUACCCGGAGAAUAAGCAUCGGCUAACUCCGUGCCAACAGCCGCGGUAAUACGGAGGAUGCGAGCGUUAUCCGGAUUUAUUGGGUUUAAAGGGUGCGCAGGCGGACAUUCAAGUCUGCGGUCAAAUUCCGGGGCUCAACCCCGGCCAGCCGUGGAAACUGAAUGACUUGAGUGGGCGAGAGGUAUGCGGAAUGCGCGGUGUAGCGGUGAAAUGCUUAGAGAUCGCGCAGAACUCCGAUUGCGAAGGCAGCAUACCGGCGCCUUACUGACGCUCAGGCACGAAAGCGUGGGGAUCGAACAGGAUUAGAUACCCUGGUAGUCCACGCAGUAAACGAUGAAUGCUGGUUGUUCGGGCCGACUGAGGCCUGAGUAACGUAGUGAAAACGUUAAGCAUUCCACCUGGGGAGUACGCCGGCAACGGUGAAACUCAAAGGAAUUGACGGGGGCCCGCACAAGCGGAGGAACAUGUGGUUUAAUUCGAUGAUACGCGAGGAACCUUACCCGGGCUUAAAUUGCAGUGGAAUGAUGUGGAAACAUGUCAGUGAGCAAUCACCGCUGUGAAGGUGCUGCAUGGUUGUCGUCAGCUCGUGCCGUGAGGUGUCGGCUUAAGUGCCAUAACGAGCGCAACCCCUGCGGACAGUUGCCAUCAGGUAGAGCUGGGCACUCUGUCCGGACUGCCGGCGCAAGCCGUGAGGAAGGCGGGGAUGACGUCAAAUCAGCACGGCCCUUACGUCCGGGGCGACACACGUGUUACAAUGGGCGGCACAGCGGGAAGCCAGGUGGUGACACCGAGCAGAACCCGAAAGCCGUUCUCAGUUCGGAUCGGAGUCUGCAACCCGACUCCGUGAAGCUGGAUUCGCUAGUAAUCGCGCAUCAGCCAUGGCGCGGUGAAUACGUUCCCGGGCCUUGUACACACCGCCCGUCAAGCCAUGGAAGCCGGGGGCGCUUGAAGUGCGUUGCCGCAAGGCGCGCCCUAGAGCGAAACCGGUGACUGGGGCU
rnacentral:rRNA from 1 species